rnacentral:rRNA from 1 species
AACGAACGCUGGCGGCAUGCCUAACACAUGCAAGUCGAACGAGACCUUCGGGUCUAGUGGCGCACGGGUGCGUAACGCGUGGGAAUCUGCCCUUCGGUUGGGAAUAACUGAGAGAAAUCUCAGCUAAUACCUUAUAAUGUCUUCGGACCAAAGAUUUAUCGCCGAGGGAUGAGCCCGCGUAGGAUUAGGCAGUUGGUGGGGUAAUGGCCUACCAAGCCGACGAUCCUUAGCUGGUCUGAGAGGAUGAUCAGCCACACUGGGACUGAGACACGGCCCAGACUCCUACGGGAGGCAGCAGUGGGGAAUAUUGGACAAUGGGCGAAAGCCUGAUCCAGCAAUGCCGCGUGAGUGAUGAAGGCCUUAGGGUUGUAAGGCUCUUUUACCCGGGAUGAUAAUGACAGUACCGGGAGAAUAAGCUCCGGCUAACUCCGUGCCAGCAGCCGCCGUAA